rnacentral:lncRNA from 1 species
GAAGCUGUUAGCGUUAUGUUCUUUCCCUCAUGUUGAAAAGUAUACGUGUUCUCUCUACCGCAACUUCUCACACAGCGGUCGUAAAGCCAUGGUCGGCCUAGUAGCACAUGUGCGACACUUAUGGGUAGGAUAUCACAAUAAAGUCGCUCAUGACAGGGACCCAAUUGAAGAGGAACAAGACAUCUUUCAGUAACAGGUAACCUGGUGUUAUCUACCCAGCCAACAUGAAAAGGAUGGGGAUGGGACUCGACCUGAAGGUGAAGGCGGUCGACAGCAGCUUUAGAGAUAACAUUCAGUGUACUUCCCCC